rnacentral:rRNA from 1 species
AUUAGCUAGUUGGUGAGGUAAAGGCUCACCAAGGCGACGAUCUGUAGCGGGUCUGAGAGGAUGAUCCGCCACACUGGAACUGAGACACGAUCCAGAUUCCUACGGGAGGCAGCAGUGGGGAAUUUUGGACAAUGGGCGCAAGCCUGAUCCAGCCAUGCCGCGUGAGUGAAGAAGGCCUUCGGGUUGUAAAGCUCUUUCGGCCGGGAAGAAAUCGCAUUGGUUAAUACCCAGUGUGGAUGACGGUACCGGAAUAAGAAGCACCGGCUAACUACGUGCCAGCAGCCGCGGUAAUACGUAGGGUGCGAGCGUUAAUCGGAAUUACUGGGCGUAAAGCGUGCGCAGGCGGUUUUGUAAGACAGGCGUG